CCUACGGGAGGCAGCAGUGAGGAAUAUUGGUCAAUGGUCGGGAGACUGAACCAGCCAAGCCGCGUGAGGGAGGAAGGUACAGAGUAUCGUAAACCUCUUUUGUCAGGGAACAAAGACUGGGACGCGUCCCCGGAUGAGUGUACCUGAAGAAAAAGCAUCGGCUAACUCCGUGCCAGCAGCCGCGGUAAUACGGAGGAUGCGAGCGUUAGCCGGAUUUAUUGGGUUUAAAGGGUGCGCAGGCGGUCUGUCAAGUCAGCGGUAAAAGCCCGGGGCUCAACCCCGGCCCGCCGUUGAAACUGGCAGUCUCGAGUUGGAGAGAAGUAUGCGGAAUGCGCGGUGUAGCGGUAAAAUGCAUAGAUAUCGCGCAGAACUCCGAUUGCGAAGGCAGCAUGCCGGCUCCACACUGACGCUGAGGCACGAAAGCGUGGGUAUCGAACAGGAUUAGAUACCCUUGUAGUC
rnacentral:rRNA from 1 species